rnacentral:rRNA from 1 species
GCUGGCGGCAGGCCUAACACAUGCAAGUCGAACGGUAACAGGAAUCAGCUUGCUGAUUCGCUGACGAGUGGCGGACGGGUGAGUAAUGUCUGGGAAACUGCCUGAUGGAGGGGGAUAACUACUGGAAACGGUAGCUAAUACCGCAUAACGUCGCAAGACCAAAGAGGGGGACCUUCGGGCCUCUUGCCAUCGGAUGUGCCCAGAUGGGAUUAGCUAGUAGGUGGGGUAAC